GGGAAAAGGGACUGCACAGUCUCUGUGAAAGAAAACCUGCUACUGGAUACAAGUUUUAUUUUGUUUAGAAUACUGCAGAAGAGCACCCCUAGAUUGACAGUGCACCCCUAGAUUGACAGAGCACACCUACAUUGACAGAGGACCCCUACAUUUACUGAGCACCCCUAGAUUUGCAGAGCACCCCUUUAUGGAUGAACAAAGAACCCCUGGAAGACAAAGCAGCACCCAUUGAUGGACAGCACAGCAGACCUGGAUGGACACAGCACAGACAUGUCUAUUCAAUACAAGAUCCACUGCUGGAGUAAAAUGUGGCCCAUCACUGGGGACCUUUAUAGAAUCCAAAUCGCACGAGUAUCUGAGGGUGAUGUUUUCCUUCGUUCCGAGGAUCCCGACUCAGAUUGCGAAUUUCCGGUGGGUUCAGUUUCUGGAGAUCUGGACCUGCUCAUCUCUAUUAAUAACCAGGCGUGUAGUGCCGGGUCUCCAUAGUAACGGCGCCGAGAGGCACAUGUCGCUGGAUUCAGACAUCAUUGGAGUCCGCUGGUGCCCGCGCUAGGUCGAGUUAAUGUUCCGGUGGCGGGAUUCUGAUAGUUCUGUCUUUAUAUAAGGUUUUUUUGCAGAUGCAUAUACAGUAGGUAAACAGAAGAACGGUACAUGAAGACAGUUGCAGGAAUAGUAUACUGUACAUUGUGCAGAACAUGUUGAGAGCAUGACGCAUACAAGGUAGUACAGAUGGACUCGUCAUUCCUCCAAAUUACAUCAUGGAGCCUAUCUUGCCUCGAGACUUGUCUACAGUGGGUGACACCUCUUUGUUCCUCUGGAUCUUACUGUACAAGUCCAAUCAAAUUCCUUUGGUUUAACAGAAGUACAAGGAUAUAUUCAGCAAGCAAGGAGCAACUUUAUUACUUCCUCACCGGGAGUGGGACUAUCCCAUCAACUUGAUCCCAAGAAAGACCCUCCAAGGGACGUGUAUAACCAUUAUGCCUACCAGAAACCCAAGCAAUGUCUGACUACAUCAAGGGGAACAUAGAGAAAUGGUUCAUCUGCCUCUCAUUGUCACCCGCUGGUGCUGGGUUCUUUUUUGUCAAGAAAAAGGACUGUGGGUAAAGUCCAUGUAUUAACAAAAAUAAAUGUCACCACUCCUUCCA